UCGAGAAUCUUCCGCAAUGGGCGAAAGCCUGACGGAGCGACGCCGCGUGCGGGAUGAAGGCCUUCGGGUUGUAAACCGCUGUCAGUGGGGAGGAAAUGCACGGGGGUUCUCCCUCGUGCUUGACCGAUCCGCAGAGGAAGCACAGGCUAAGUUCGUGCCAGCAGCCGCGGUAACACGAACUGUGCAAACGUUAUUCGGAAUCACUGGGCUUAAAGAGUUCGUAGGCGGCAUGCCAAGUCGGGUGUGAAAU
rnacentral:rRNA from 1 species